GCGAGCGCCUCCUGAAAUAUCGGGCACCAUAGCAGGAAACUCUAUGUGUGAAUGUGGUCAAAGUCGGUGAAACCUAAAAAGUGAAAAGAACUUUAUCGAUUUGUUGAGUGUUCUUACACUUCAUGGCAAUACCGAGCCAAGCCUGACUCUCUUAGAGAAACUAUAAAAAGAGGUUUAAGUCAGGAAGGUGUAGAGACAAGACGGCCACCACCUAAUAGCUUUUAGCUAAUGGUGAAGGUAUAGUCCAGAGAGUGGGGAAACUCACAC
rnacentral:ncRNA from 1 species